ACGAUGUUCCGCUGUGUUCUAUAAGGAUGCAUGAGCAUUUG
rfam:Sporolactobacillus inulinus CASD NODE_237, whole genome shotgun sequence.